rnacentral:lncRNA from 1 species
GCGGCGCGCGCACGCGUAUAUGAACCUUUUCGAAUCUUUUCUUUUCUAUUGCCACAUGAUGGCUCAAUGUAUAGAUUCUCCUGAAUGGCUCUAACCCGGAGUCGAGUGGCGUGUGCGGAAUCUUUGUGGGCUUUUCGGAGCCAUAAACCGUCGUAAUUGUCAGUAGUAUUUGAAAUUCAUGAGAAUUUUACUGGCCACUCUUGGCCGCCGAAGGUAUCAAUGAAAGUUUCGUAAAUCCCUUCCCCCAGGAAUCUUUCCAAAUGUGUUUUUUCUCAACUGUAAACGUUUUUUCUCUCUCUCUCUCUCUCUCUUUUUUUUUUCUAGAAAUACUUCAACGUAAAACGACGUACCGAGUCAUACCGUUUAUCGGGGCUCGGAGGAACGGACGAAAUGAUUUAUCAAACGACUCAACGGUGCGCGCUGUCUUCGUUACAUUAUUUUUGUCUCAAUUCUUUUGAUUUUCUCCGCGAAACGAGAAGAUGAAUGGAGCAGCCUUCGGAGAUAACGAAAGGAGAGGCUCGUAAGGAACGCGAGGAAUUUUCGUUAUGUCCAUCCUCACUCUCGAGGCUUGACGACGCGAGACACGAGAGAGGGAGAGGCCGCAGGGACGAUAAGCCGCUCUCGCUUUAUCGCUCCGCUCCCUUAUACACCUUGAAGAUACGGAACCGCGGGGGUUCGAGAAGCCUCCUAAGACAAAGGGAACCCGGCGAGGGAUUAUAGGCGCGCGUAUACGUUUGCCACAAGGAGCAGCUCUACCGGGACCCCUCAUCCCGCGUGGCAAAUUUUUCCAUCUUCCUCCGUCGCUCAGCCUCUCUCGGUCUUUCCUUCUCAAUCUCGAACUCGGCCCCCCCUUGACUUUCUCAAAGAGCAGCAGCAGCAGCAGCAGCAGCACAUGGUCCGGGGAAUAGUGAGUUGUAGAAUGGAACGAGAAGGUAAAAGAGCGGAGAAAAAAUGAGCCGGUGAGCAAGAGAGAACGGAGAGCAACACACUCUGCGAGGUACCCAACAGAAAGAGUGCCGCCAAGGAGAAUAUUUAUGGGGUUCCGAACUGGACCACCCGGUAAUUAAGACGACCCUGAAGUUGGGGCGGGGCAGUAACCGGCACGAUAUCCUUUUCUCUACCUAGAUCGUUCCUCACCGCCAUUCCUCAGCCCUCCCGAGAGCCCUGGCUCUUUCCAUCUCUCCCUCUUUUUACCACUCCUCGAUCUCUCAGCCAAACCUGUGGCGAUCUUCCUCAGAUCUCUCUUGUUCAUUGCCCCAGGAGAAUCCGAGUCCUCUCAAACUAUUUUGGAUGGUACAGAGCUCAACUCUGCUUAGCAACUUGCAUCCACGCGCGACUCACCGACCCGAAUGUCCAAGGCUUCUAACUAGAUACGCGGACCGUGAAAGAGCACGAAAGCAGAGAGGAGGGCGGGGAGCGGAGCGAAGUAGGCAAAACAUCAUAUUGUACUUACGAGCGUUACGCUCCAGAGAAACACUUGGAAGCAAUUCUCGGAGCUGAAACCGAGUCAAGUUGUUUUUAUUCCUUUGGCGCAUGCUCGAAGAAAAUUUUCGAUGUGCUGUGCCACGCGAGGCCUGCUAGAUACUUGACCAUUUUCUACCGAUGCACAUUUGCCCGGGUACGCGUGUGCAUUAUGCCUGUUAAAUAAUGCAUCCGGUCACGUAGCCGAGAAAGUGUUUUCGUUCGAGUAAAUAACAGGCAACAUUUAUAAAUGUAUCCCUAAAUAUUGUAACCGACGAGCGGAAGAAAUCGUGCACAAUUGCCAGAGUCUCGAUGAACGUGGUCUCGGUACAAAUUAGUUAAGAGGGGCUUGAGAGAAUUUUUCACACAAAGUUUAGGCUAGCAAAGGAAAAAAGUUGUUACCCUCGGGAAUAACAAUUGGAGUUUUAGUUACAUCUCGUAUUAUUUAUCGAGGAAGGAAGUGACAGUUGGUAUUUCCUUAAAUCGGUCAUAAUUCGAGGGUGGGCGUUGCGCCCAAUCUAUUUAACGCGUUACACAGUAUAUCUCAGCUCCGGUGUGUUGAUUGAGAUAAAACACAGGUUUACGGAGUUAUCCCUCCAUCAGUUACUUCGAGACAGAUGCCUCGGAGUCUCUCGGAGUGAGCAAUAAUGCUCUUCGCGCUGCUCGAGCCUUCUCUCGUCGGCUCUUUCUCUUCUUCUUCUUCUUCUUCUUUGUUGCGUGCUCUAUCGGAUAAUCUCCGCUGCUUCGUACACUCGAGAAGCUACAAAAUACCGAGUACGUCUCGUCUCGUUUGACGAAAAGGGGCGUGGGCUUUUCCCAGAAAUCUCGAGCUUCGUCGAUUGAGAGUCGCCAGGCGGAAAUGGCGCAAAUGUUGAAUUACCAAGUGGGAAGUUGGAAUCGGGCAGACUGCAUGGCGCGCAUUGCCAACAAACCGCCGCGCUUCUUUUCCUCUCUUUCUCAUCGCUUUGCGUGACUCAUUCAAAAGCUCCACGAGCCGGAUCCUCUCUUCGUAUAUUUUCCCCUAAACGAGACUCGCCGAUCUCCCGUGAGAAGCCUCGACGAUUACUUAAAAAACAUCAACAACAACAACAACACCGUCGAGGACUCGGUGACUUUUUGUCAAGUCACUCGAUCCAAUUAGGCGCGGUAACCUUGCGAGAUUGAAAGACAUUGCCGUCUCUCUCCAUUUGAGAGUUUCGUUAACGCUCGAUCAUCCGGUGCACAAUGACAAUGUACAUCGGCAGUACCCGAGAGAGGUCUUCGUCCACGCAACACGAAGAAAGUCACCGGAAGCCUCGAACUUUGGGUCUAUACUCGGGGUUGAUAGGCCCGUUUACGUUCGAGCAAAAAAACUACUCGUCGCACACUUUCGUACGAGGGAUGUGCUUCCAUCCGAAUUCUUAACUCGCGCUCGCGUCCCUGUUAUACGCUUUAACGAAAUCGCCUUAACCACCUGGUGGGCCGAGAUGAUGUUCCCUCUUGUUUCCAUAGCGUUUUGUUGAUGAUGGAGACUCCUACAUCGCUGGAGAGCGUGAUCCAUGUAGUUGUGAGGAUGAACGAAACUGUGGGAAUAUUCGACGAGUCUGUAAGCGGCAUUUCGAGGAUCCUCAUCGCGAGGGGGCGGCAAAGUGGGUUCCACCAAGGUGGUCUUUCAUUCGGGACCACACAAAUGAUAGUCCGUACGAGCCCGCGUGACGGCACUGAAGAUACUGCGGCUCGGACUAAUACAGCUCAUCAUUACUACUACAUCCAUACACACGAGUGGACUAUCUUGCUCUCGGCCGGUUCUCUAUCGGGUCGCGUGUGGGUCGAGUCAUCCUCGAAUGAGGCGGCGAAUAAAUUGAACAAAGGAACCGGAGUGGACGCACUCUCGCGCGCGCGCGCGCCGCACAAGAGAAACUUUUUGCCUCGCGCUACCAGCGGACAGAUGAAGAGGCCGAGAGACGAGUUCCGGUCGGAAACCAAGUCUCCCGUCUUCGGUUCCAGGUAGCGGAGUUUCGUCGGAGCCUCGGCGGAUCUCCAGCCAGCGGUUGGGCUUCCAAAUCCUCCAACUCCGUGGACACAUUCCAGGCGCGAUGAGCAAUCUUGUUCCCAACUGUUUCCAGCUUGCUAGCCGACGCUCCAAUUCUACGCCUCGCGGUACUCGCACAGUACAUUGAUCCGCAAUCGCUGCUCGAACCAACUCCGAACAAAGUGCUGCUUGCACCAGCACAGCGUUUCACGUCGCGCUCAAUUUCCUGGGUAAACAGCCGUAUGAAAUUCCGCCCGUAGAAUCCAACUGCAAAAUAAAAUAAGGCACGUCAUAGACGAGGUGGAAUAAUAAAUAAAUAAAUAAGAGAGAAAAAGAAA